GUGGGUAGUUUGACUGGGGCGGUCUCCUCCUAAAGAGUAACGGAGGAGCACGAAGGUUGGCUAAUCCUGGUCGGACAUCAGGAGGUUAGUGCAAUGGCAUAAGCCAGCUUGACUGCGAGCGUGACGGCGCGAGCAGGUGCGAAAGCAGGUCAUAGUGAUCCGGUGGUUCUGAAUGGAAGGGCCAUCGCUCAACGGAUAAAAGGUACUCCGGGGAUAACAGGCUGAUACCGCCCAAGAGUUCAUAUCGACGGCGGUGUUUGGCACCUCGAUGUCGGCUCAUCACAUCCUGGGGCUGAAGUAGGUCCCAAGGGUAUGGCUGUUCGCCAUUUAAAGUGGUACGCGAGCUGGGUUUAGAACGUCGUGAGACAGUUCGGUCCCUAUCUGCCGUGGGCGCUGGAGAACUGAGGGGGGCUGCUCCUAGUACGAGAGGACCGGAGUGGACGCAUCACUGGUGUUCGGGUUGUCAUGCCAAUGGCACUGCCCGGUAGCUAAAUGCGGAAGAGAUAAGUGCUGAAAGCAUCUAAGCACGAAACUUGCCCCGAGAUGAGUUCUCCCUGAGACUUUAGGUCUCCUGAAGGAACGUUGAAGACGACGACGUUGAUAGGCCGGGUGUGUAAGCGCAGCGAUGCGUUGAGCUAACC
rnacentral:rRNA from 2 species